rnacentral:rRNA from 1 species
UACAGGCUUAACACAUGCAAGUCGAGGGGCAGCAUUUUAGUUUGCUUGCAAACUAAAGAUGGCGACCGGCGCACGGGUGAGUAACACGUAUCCAACCUGCCGAUAACUCGGGGAUAGCCUUUCGAAAGAAAGAUUAAUAUCCGAUAGUAUAUUAAAACCGCAUGGUUUUACUAUUAAAGAAUUUCGGUUAUCGAUGGGGAUGCGUUCCAUUAGUUUGUUGGCGGGGUAACGGCCCACCAAGACAACGAUGGAUAGGGGUUCUGAGAGGAAGGUCCCCCACAUUGGAACUGAGACACGGUCCAAACUCCUACGGGAGGCAGCAGUGAGGAAUAUUGGUCAAUGGACGAGAGUCUGAACCAGCCAAGUAGCGUGAAGGAUGACUGCCCUAUGGGUUGUAAACUUCUUUUAUAUGGGAAUAAAGUAUUCCACGUGUGGGAUUUUGUAUGUACCAUAUGAAUAAGGAUCGGCUAACUCCGUGCCAGCAGCCGCGGUAAUACGGAGGAUCCGAGCGUUAUCCGGAUUUAUUGGGUUUAAAGGGAGCGUAGGUGGAUUGUUAAGUCAGUUGUGAAAGUUUGCGGCUCAACCGUAAAAUUGCAGUUGAAACUGGCAGUCUUGAGUACAGUAGAGGUGGGCGGAAUUCGUGGUGUAGCGGUGAAAUGCUUAGAUAUCACGAAGAACUCCGAUUGCGAAGGCAGCUCACUAGACUGCAACUGACACUGAUGCUCGAAAGUGUGGGUAUCAAACAGGAUUAGAUACCCUGGUAGUCCACACAGUAAACGAUGAAUACUCGCUGUUUGCGAUAUACAGUAAGCGGCCAAGCGAAAGCAUUAAGUAUUCCACCUGGGGAGUACGCCGGCAACGGUGAAACUCAAAGGAAUUGACGGGGGCCCGCACAAGCGGAGGAACAUGUGGUUUAAUUCGAUGAUACGCGAGGAACCUUACCCGGGCUUAAAUUGCAUUUGAAUAAUCUGGAAACAGGUUAGCCGCAAGGCAAAUGUGAAGGUGCUGCAUGGUUGUCGUCAGCUCGUGCCGUGAGGUGUCGGCUUAAGUGCCAUAACGAGCGCAACCCUUAUCUUUAGUUACUAACAGGUCAUGCUGAGGACUCUAGAGAGACUGCCGUCGUAAGAUGUGAGGAAGGUGGGGAUGACGUCAAAUCAGCACGGCCCUUACGUCCGGGGCUACACACGUGUUACAAUGGGGGGUACAGAAGGCAGCUACCUGGCGACAGGAUGCUAAUCCCAAAAACCUCUCUCAGUUCGGAUCGAAGUCUGCAACCCGACUUCGUGAAGCUGGAUUCGCUAGUAAUCGCGCAUCAGCCAUGGCGCGGUGAAUACGUUCCCGGGCCUUGUACACACCGCCCGUCAAGCCAUGAAAGCCGGGGGUACCUGAAGUACGUAACCGCAAGGAGCGUCCUAGGGUAAAACUGGUAAUUGGGGCUAAGAC